GUACCUAAGGGAAUAAAAAAUUUCAAUAUUAACCAGAUAAAUCCAGCAAAGCUAAUUUUAGAAUAUGACAUUCCUUCUUUAUUUUGUUGUAGCUUCUCUUCUGAAAAAAUUCAAGUUGUUUUCCUGGCUUGGGGAGAUGGCUGAGUGCAGGUGUGAAGACUGGAGUGAGUAGGACUUGACAGCUUGCCUGUAAUCCAGUGCUCUGCAGGCAGAGACAGGGCCUGGCUGCCUUGACUGCCCAGUCCUUGAGUUUAACAAGAGGAGAUAAGGCAGAGAGUGAUAAAAGAAGAUAUUCAGAGUCAGCCUCUGACUUUUACAGGCAUGAGCAUAUGUGUGCAUAUGGAUAUGCCUACCUAAAUGGAUAUGAAUAUACAUGUGUGCACACAUGCUAAAAAAGGGUUUAUCUGAGUCGGGCAUGGUGGUCCAUGCUUGCAAUCCCAGUACUCAGAAUGUUGAGACAGACCUAUCACCAUGGAUUUGAGACCAGUCUGGGCUAUAUAAUGAGUUCCAUUAUACCCCUGGACUACUUACUGAGUGAGACUGUCUCAAAACAGGCAAACAUGUUUUUCUGUGAUUCACGUAUCUCAGCAAUACCACAUAUCUUAAUUAGGGUUUCAUUGCUGUGAAGAGACACCAUGACCAAGGCGACUUUUUUUUGUUUUGUUUUUUUUUUUUUUUUGUUUUGUUUUUUUUUGAGACAGGGUUUCUUUGUAUAGCCCUGGCUGUCCUGGAACUCACUUUGUAGACCAGGCUGGCCUUGAACUCCGAAAUCCGCCUGCCUCUGCCUCCCAGGUGCUGGAAUUAAAGGUGUGCACUACCACCGCCCAGCUCCAAUGCGAUUCUUAUGGAGAACAUAAUUUCAUUAGAGGGCUGCCUUAGUUUCAUAGGUUUAAUCCAUUUUUAUCAUGGUGGGAAGCAUGAUAAUGUACAGGAGACUUGGUGCUGCAGGAGCUGAGAGGUCUACGUCUUGAUCUGCAGGCAGCAGGAGAUUGUCAUCUGCACUGGGUGGAGCCUGAGCAUAGGAGACCAGCCUGCUCUCACUGUGACAUACUUCUCCAACAAGGCCACAUCUCCUCCAGUAAGGCCACACCUCCUAAUUGUGCCACUUCCUAUGGCCAAGCAUUGAAACUCGUGAAUCUAUUCAAACCAGACACUACGUGAGAGUCUUCCUUGGGUUUCACUACCAACUUAAUCUGCACAACCUGCAUCAACUCUCAAUGCCCAAAGGUUUUUCUGUACCUGACACAAAUUAUAGAACUAUGUUUUACAUUUAUUUUAGAAUGUGUAUGUGUACAUAUGUAGGCACACAUGUGUCACAGUGUGAGAGUGUGAAGGUCAAAGGACAGUUUGGGCAGUCAGUUUUCUCAUUCUAUCAAGUACGUUCUGGGAUUGAAUUCAAAUCAACAGGUUUGGUAGUCAAGUACAGUUUUGCUAGCCUAGAACUUUUCCUUCCUUCCUCCUUCCAUCUCCUUUCUUUUUGGAGACUGGGUCUCACAGAGCCGAGACAGUCUUUGAGCUGGUUUCCUUGUGUGUCUGCUUGCGUGCUGGCAUGGAACACUAUACUUAGCUUUUUUGCUUUUUAUUUUUUUUAAACAAAAAAUUUAAACUUUGUCAUGAGUUUUGUUGAGCAGAUUUUGAUUUUUUUCCCCUCCUAGGCUGUUAUUUUUAAAAUUAAAAAAAUUUUUUUUUGUAUUCUUGGCUGUCUUGGAACCCAUUCUGUAGACCAGGCUAGUUUCAGACUUAACAGAGAUCUGCCUACCUUUGCCUCCGGGUUCUGGGAUUAAAGGCUUGUGCCACAACCACUUGCUUGUUUUGUUUCGUUUCGUUUUGCUUUUUUUUUGAGUGAGGAUGUGCUUUUUAAUGGGUACCAUUGUAGGUCAUUAAUAAUGAAGAAAUAUAUGUAAAUAUAUAAAUGCCCUCACCUUCUGCCCUCCAUGUAAUUUGUUUAAUUAUCAUUUCUAAUUUUUUAUGUGACUUAUUUAAACAUACUUUGUCCUUUUAACCCUUAAUUCUGUUUUAGGUAUCAACUCUCAUCUCAGGUUAAUUUGUAAAUUUAAAAAGUUUCCAUAGAAAAGUUUCCUGUUUAUUGGGUAUUCAGAUAAUUUGGUUUUUUUUAUCUUUCUAAUGAAUAUUAAUCAGUUUAAAAUUGUAAAGUUGAGGCUUGAGAGAUGAUUUAGUGGUUAAAAGCCCCUGUUGCUCUUACAGAGGACAGAAGUUAAGUUCCCAGCGCCCACCUGGUGGCUGACAACCAUAUCUGUAACUCUAGUUCCAGGGUAACCAACACCCUUGUGUGACUUCUUUCAGAAGUAGGCAUUGGUCAUUGAUGUGGUUUGGAUAUAUAUAUAUAUAUACACAGACAAAAUAUUCAUGCACAUAAAAUAAAGUUAAAACUUAAUUUUUUUUAAAUUGCUAAAUUGAACCCAGUUGUGGUAGGGCUCACAACUGAUGGAAUCCUAGCACUCCAGAAGAUGAAACUGGAAGAUUGCCAUGAGCUCUAGGCAGCCUGGGAUAUAGGGUAAGACUGUGUUUC
rnacentral:lncRNA from 1 species